AGUGAACGCUGGCGGUAGGCCUAACACAUGCAAGUCGAACGGCAGCACAGUAAGAGCUUGCUCUUACGGGUGGCGAGUGGCGGACGGGUGAGGAAUACAUCGGAAUCUACUUUUUCGUGGGGGAUAACGUAGGGAAACUUACGCUAAUACCGCAUACGACCUACGGGUGAAAGCAGGGGAUCUUCGGACCUUGCGCGAUUGAAUGAGCCGAUGUCGGAUUAGCUAGUUGGCGGGGUAAAGGCCCACCAAGGCGACGAUCCGUAGCUGGUCUGAGAGGAUGAUCAGCCACACUGGAACUGGGACACGGUCAAGACUACUGCGGGAGGCAGCAGUGGGGAAUAUUGGACAAUGGGCGCAAGCCUGAUCCAGCGAUAGCGCGUGGGUGAAGAAGGCCUUCGGGUUGUAAAGCCCUUUUGUUGGGAAAGAAAAGCAGCAGGUUAAUACCACGCUGUUCUGACGGUACCCAAAGAAUAAGCACCGGCUAACUUCGUG
rnacentral:rRNA from 1 species